rnacentral:sRNA from 1 species
AUGGCUGUCGUCAGCUCGUGUCGUGAGAUGUUGGGUUAAGUCCCGCAACGAGCGCAACCCUUACCCCUAGUUGCCAGCGCGUCAUGGCGGGAACUCUACGGGGACUGCCCGGGUUAACCGGGAGGAAGGUGGGGAUGAUGUCAAGUCCUCAUGGCCCUUAUGUCCAGGGCUACACACGUGCUACAAUGGGCGAUACAAACCGUUGCAAAGUCGCGAGAUGGAGCUAAUCGGAGAAAGUCGUCCUCAGUUCGGAUUGUAGUCUGCAACUCGACUACAUGAAGGUGGAAUCGCUAGUAAUCGUGUAUCAGAAUGAUACGGUGAAUACGUUCCCGGGCCUUGUACACACCGCCCGUCACAUCACGAAAGCCGGGAGCACUUGAAGAGGCUGUGGUAACCCGCAAGGGGGCUAGGUCUCAAUGGUGAACUUGGUGAUUGGGGUGAAGUCGUAACAAGGUAGCUGUAGGAGAACCUGUGGCUGGAUCACCUCCUUUCUAAGGAGAGUCAUUCGAAUGAAUGACGAAAGGUCAACGCUUCCGUAUCGCAGUAUCUAUCCGGUUUUUAAAGACGCUCGUGCACCUUUGACGAGCGUGUUUGGGCGUCCGUUUUUUCGGGCCCGUAGCUCAGCUGGGAGAGCGCCUGGUUUGCAUCCAGGAGGUCGUCGGUUCGAUCCCGGUCGGGUCCACCAGACUCGAUGAUCGUGAGUGAUGGUUUCGCGAGCAGGCUGCGAGUGCGGGUUUCCCGCGCGAGUCAGCGGGGGCUCGGGGGGACAUCGCGAGCAAGGGCUCCCAUGUCCGCGAGCUAUGCGAGCGGGAGGACGCGAAGCGUCCGAUCCAUGGGACGAGCAGGCGGUCCCCCUGAACAACAUCGGGGCCUAUAGCUCAGUCUGGUUAGAGCGCACGCCUGAUAAGCGUGAGGUCGGUGGUUCGAAUCCACCUAGGCCCACCAUUAUUUGAGUUGAGUUGAGACCCAAAGGGGUUUGAAUCCAGCUCAAAGUCGGUUCACGGACCGGUUGCCGAGAGGCGGAGUUGUUUGACAGAUAAAUAGAAGGAAUAGAGAAGGGUGAUCCAUGGCGUUGAAGGACGCUGUGGGCUUAAGGCGAGGCAAGUUUAGCGAAUCGGGCCUGAGCGGUUUAGACCGCGAGGGUCGAAUACUCUUAGGGUUUGAAGUCAAUGUAAUUCAUUGAUGGAAGGCCAAGUUACAAAGGGUUGACGGUGGAUGCCUUGGCAGAUGACAGCGAUGAAGGACGUGGUAAGCUGCGAAAAGUCUCGGGGAGUUGCACGCGAACGGUGAUCCGGGAAUGUCCGAAUGGGGAAACCCGG